GCGUUGCAGCGAGACUGAGCCAGAGUCUCCUGCCUAACCCCUUGGCCUGCAGCAGCGUGGCAGGAUCUGUUAGCAGCAGUCCUGGCAGCGGCGGCAGGCCAACGCGCCCGAGGCCGCGGACGCCGGCGUCGCCGGACGCCGCCCGCCCGCUCGCUCGGCAGCGCGGCUCACGCGGCUCGGCGCGAGCCUCGUGCAGGCGCGCUUAUACGCUAAAAUGUUUUACAAUAACUCCUUAUGGGUCUUCUGCAGAAACCUCUGGCCUGCAGCUGUGUGGCAGGAUCUGUCUGGGUAGCAGUCCUGACAAUGGCGGCAGGCCAGCUCCCGAGGGCCGGCGUCGCGACCGCUCGCUCGCAUGGCGCCCGCUAAAUGGUUCUGGACGUGCCCCAUGCUGGCGCGGUAAAAUUAAAUUCUUUACUAGUUUUGAAAAAGAUGAUUCAUACUUAUGAAGAAGACAUUCAAUGUAGAAACUCUAGCUGUAACACAUGCUUAAAUUAGAAUAAGUCACUUGCGAUUAUCAGUCGGUUUGCAUGCUUAAUAAAUCAAGGCAUUAAAUCUGGCUAGUUUGUCGGUUUUCGUUAUAUUAUGUACAAGAUAAUCUAUGAAGACAUGCAUUAGAUAUAGUUCCGGUGAUGGGUUAGCAUU